AUGAAGCUCUGCUGGCAGAUUUCCAUCCAUGGUUCUUAAAUAAGCAUGAAGAGAAGUGUGAAAGUGUGCUGUCACCUCUCACACUCCUCCACUUCCAACAGUUUGUUUGGGCUUUAGCUUUUGGCUUCUGUGAUCACCAUGGAGGUAUGCUCAAACAUUCUCUCUGAGUAGCAGAAGAAGCAGAUGAGCAUUCUCCAAAAGGAGCAGAGACUUUGGCUACAGCCUGGCAAGCCGGCAAGUCACAAAAAGGCAAUGGACUCCAUUAGGGGUUCGA
rnacentral:sRNA from 1 species